rnacentral:lncRNA from 1 species
UACAAUCUGCACCGGCAGUAACUAUAAAAGGCUUUCCACUGUUCAGGACAAUAACUUAAAAGGGUAUUCCAAUUACAGUCAUACAUAAGCUACCAUUUCACAAACGAGAAUAGAAGAGAAUGAAGAGAGAGAGAGAGAGAGAGAGAGAGAGAGAGAGUAGUCGUUCGUUGUCUGACGAAGAAUACGAACGAAAGGAAGGAAAGGAAGGAAGGACGGUACGUAAGAAGAACUAAGUUACGUAGUUAGACUACUACGUCGUCCGUCGUCUUCUACGUAAGNNNNNNNNNNNNNNNNNNNNAGAGAGAGAGAGAGAGAGAGAGAGAGAGAGAGAGAGAGAGAGAGAGAGAGAGAGUCUUCGUUGUCUGACAGAAUGACCAAGGAAGAAGGAAGAAGGAGGCUUAGAAGACAAUUCGAUUG